rnacentral:lncRNA from 1 species
GUUUCAUCCUUCUGGCACCCCGGUGAGGUGCGGCCUGUCGGGCUGUUUGUCAUAGACGCACCCGCCUUAAGACAAGCAUCUUGGCAACUUCCUAGACUCUCUUUCGAGGUGCUUCCAAGUUUGACGCGUGGCUAACAGUCCAUUGUGUCUGUGUCAAAGUGCCAGGAGGAUUGAUGAGAUGAUGUUGGCAAAGCUGAGCGCGAUAAAGACACUCCUUUCUGUUCUGAAACCUUAUUAGGAUACCGAGAGUUCUUUCAAUCCAGAAUCCGCUGGGGAAAACUGGUCAUGCUGCAGCCUUGUAAACGACCAGCCUGUUCCCAUUUCCUGCCCAGAGCCGGCUCUCAGCAGAAAGCGGUGGGGAAUUCCAGGCUUUCUGAACUCGCUGUGGUUACAUCUUUGAACUUGUUAAGAAACAUAUGAUUGCAAACUGGCUUUGAAAAGUAAUGCCGAUGGGCAAGUCAUCCAGAAAGGCUAAGACCCUUAUUCUGGGAAAUUCUCUGCUUUCCUGGGAAGAAAACUGCUGCAGUGAAUGACGAUGAGGUGAAACAAAACCAAAGGAAUGAAGACCUUUCCAUCCCCUGUGCUGCUUCCGCCCGUUUUUUGGAAGCUCAGUCUCAGAGGUUGUUGGGAGCCUGCUGAGGAAGUGUUCUGAAAAGAUCAGUAUUCUCAGGUCUUUGGGGCUAGCCCUGGAGCGAUUGCAGGGCCCGUCCAUCCUCUGUGCCCUCC